rnacentral:rRNA from 1 species
GUAGUCAUAUGCUUGUCUCAAAGAUUAAGCCAUGCAUGUCUAAGUAUAAAUGCGUUUAUAGUGAAACUGCACAAGGCUCAUUACACCAGUUAUCGUUUAUUUGAUGGUCACUUACCAAGGAUACCUCUGGUAAUUCUAGAGCUAAUACUUGCGCACGGCGGCGACUCAGGAAGCCGCGUAUUUAUUAGAUACCGACCGACCCCGCAAGGGCGAUGGUGAUUCAUAAUAACUGCUCGAAUCGCAAGGUCUUGCACCGGCGAUGCAUCAUUCAAAUAUCUGCCCUAUCAACUUUCGAUGGGAGGGUAGUGGCCUCCCAUGGUGACAACGGGUACGGGCGAUUAGGGUCGAAUUGCCGGAGAGGGAGCCUGAGAAACGGCUACCACAUCCAAGGAAGGCAGCAGGCGCGCAAAUUACCCAAUCUCGAUACGAGGAGGUAGUGACAAGAAAUAUUCAAGCAGAGCUCUAAGAGUUUUGCUAUGAAAAUGGGCUUAAUGUAAACCGUUUCGCGAGGAUCUACUGAAGGGCAAGUCUGGUGGAUCGCCAGAAAGAGCACGCAGUGCUAGUCGAGCAGCAGCCGGUGUUGGGGUGCUGCCGGCGAGGUGACCUGGUACGGGGGAGGCGGCGCUGAUCCCGUUGCGAGCCGCGAGGCCGCAGUAACGCACGCGAAGGCACCGGUGGCGACGCCACUCAAGGGACGUGCUAAACCCGCUCGGAGGAGCGCUGCAGGGACGAGUGCCCAACACACAAAGCCCUGCGGAGACCGGGAGGUCUGGUGAGAUGGCCAGCAGCCGCGGUAAUUCCAGCUUCAGUAGCGUAUAUUAAAGUUGUUGCAGUUAAAAAGCUCGUAGUUGAAUAUCGGGCGGGGCUUGGCUCGCGGUCCACGGACUGCCUGCAGAGCCCUGCCUUUCCUCCCAGUAAUGUGUGGUGUCUCGCAAGGGAUGCCGCGCAACUGGGACCUUUACCUUGAGUAAAUUGGAGUGUUCAAGGCAGGCAUUCGCUUGUACAUGUUAGCAUGGAAUAAUGGAACAGGACGUCGGUCCUUCCGUUGGUCAAAGGAUUGACGUAAUGGUCAAUAGGGACAGUUGGGGGCAUUCGUAUUCAAUCGUCAGAGGUGAAAUUCUUGGAUUGAUUGAAGACGAACUAGUGCGAAAGCAUUUGCCAAGGAUGUUUUCAUUAAUCAAGAACAAAAGUUAGGGGAUCGAAGACGAUUAGAUACCGUCGUAGUCUUAACCAUAAACGAUGCCGGCUCGGGAUCCGGGGAUGGUUUAUUCCACGCCUCUUCGGGCACCGUUCGAGAAAUCAAAGCUUUUGGGCUCUGGGGGGAGUAUGGUCGCAAGGCUGAAACUUAAAGGAAUUGACGGAAGGGCACCACCAGGGGUGGAGCCUGCGGCUUAAUUUGACUCAACACGGGACAACUUACCAGGUCCAGACAUAAGAAGGAUUGACAGAUUGAGAGCUCUUUCAUAAUUUUAUGGGUGGUGGUGCAUGGCCGUUCUUAGUUGGUGGAGCGAUUUGUCUGGUUAAUUCCGAUAACGAACGAGACCCUGACCUGCUCACUAGUGUACAUUUGGCAGCAAGUGCUACGCUUCUGAGAGGGACAAUGGGUGGCAAACCCAUGGAAGUGCUGGGCGAAAACAGGUCUGUGAUGCCCUUAGAUGUUCUGGGCUGCACGCGCGCUACACUGAUGGCGUCAGCGAGUGUAUCCUUGGCUGACAAGCCUGGGUAAUCUUGUGAAACGCCAUCGUGCUAGGGAUAGAGCCUUGCAAUUUUGCUCUUGAACGAGGAAUCCCUAGUAAGCGCAAGUCAUCAACUUGCGUUGAUUACGUCCCUGCCCUUUGUACACACCGCCCGUCGCUACUACCGAUUGAAUGGCUUAGUGAGAUUCUCGGAUUGGCCCAGGGGUAUCCACCUCUGCGCUGGGAAGUUGCUCAAACUUGGUUAUUUAGAGGAAGUAAAAGUCGUAACAAGGUUUCCGUAGGUGAACCUGCGGAAGGAUCAUUCUUGUAGAGCGGCCGGGCGUAGGCCUGGCCAUACCAUGUGUGAACCGGUGUAGGCUUCCCGGCGGAAGGCGCGAGCGGACGGCCGGGAGCAGAAGCAUGUCGAUGGCAGGGAGCUCGGGAACAAAUACAACUUUAGACGAUGGAUCUCUUGGCUCUCACACCGAUGAAGAACGCAGCAAACUGCGAUAAGCAAUGCGAAGCGCAGUUGUUCGUGAGUCAUCCGGUAUUCGAACGCACAUGGCAGGUCCUCGGACCUACGUCUGGUUGAGGGUCGACAUUACUCCGCAAGGGACGUGGGCGGGCGCUUGGCUCGCCCGAAAGGCAGGCAACCUGUGCCGCAGCCGUUUGGUGGAAAUCGAGCGGGCAGGCAGCAGGCGGCGCUGGGAGGCAGCAGCCACACGACGCGACCUCAAUCAGACGAGACUACCCGCCGAACUUAAGCAUAUCAAUAAGCGGAGGAAAAGACACCAACAGGGAUUCCCCCAGUAACGGCGAGUGAAAAGGGAGAAGCGCAACAUGGGAAUCGUGCCGCAGGUGCGAGUUGUAGGGUUGCAUUGCCUGCCUAGGACGACGCGGCGUGUAAGUCUCUUGGAACAGAGCAGCAGAGAGGGUGAUACUCCCGUGACGCGCGGCAGAGUCUGGGAUGGCAGGCAGUAGGCGAGUCGAGUUGUUUGGGAAUGCAGCUCCAACGGGUGGUAAUCUCCAUCCAACGCUAAAUAAAGGUGAGAGACCGAUAGCAAACAAGUACCGUGAGGGAAAGAUGAAAAGCACCUUGAAAGGGCGUUAAAAGAAUGUGAAAUCGUCUAGGGGGAAGCGUUGCCAGCGAGUGCAGCACGGCGCAGAUCAGGCACUCUUUGAGGGUGCUGCACUGUGUGUUGUGCUGGUCCACAUCAGUUUGGGCUGCUGGAUAGUCUCUCUGGAAGGUAGCGUCCUCGGACGUGUUAAGCCGGGGAGGGCGCAGUGGCCCGGACUGAGGACCGCCGUGCACGUUUGCGGGGCCUCUUGUCUCUGUCGCGCUGCCGGGGGGUGCAUCUCUGAUGAGCCCGCCGAGCAGCGCGUCACCGGCGAGAGAGGCCGCCUCUGCACGA